UACAGAGGGUGCGAGCGUUGUCCGGAAUCACUGGGCGUAAAGGGCGCGUAGGCGGUGCGAUAAGCGUGCGGUGAAAGCCCGGGGCUCAACCCCGGGUCGGCCGUGCGGACUGUCGGACUGGAGCACUGUAGAGGCAGGUGGAAUUCCGGGUGUAGCGGUGGAAUGCGUAGAGAUCCGGAAGAACACCGGUGGCGAAGGCGGCCUGCUGGGCAGUGGCUGACGCUGAGGCGCGACAGCGUGGGGAGCAAACGGG
rnacentral:rRNA from 1 species